rnacentral:rRNA from 1 species
UACGUAGGGGGCAAGCGUUGUCCGGAAUCAUUGGGCGUAAAGAGCGUGUAGGCGGCCCGGUAAGUCUGUUGUGAAAGUCCAGGGCUCAACCCUGGAAAGCCGAUGGAUACUGCCGGGCUCGAGUUCGGAAGAGGCGAGUGGAAUUCCUGGUGUAGCGGUGGAAUGCGCAGAUAUCAGGAGGAACACCUAUAGCGAAGGCAGCUCGCUGGGACGACACUGACGCUGAGACGCGAAAGCGUGGGGAGCGAACAGG